AACCCCUCAACAGCAACAUUUUACCCCAUCAGAUCUCUGCAUGGCCCUGACCAGGAGGGGAUUAAAGAAGAGUGGGGUGAGAGCCAGACUCAAGAGGCAGACACACAAACAACGAGCGCUGCCGUCCAUUAUCUUUGCUAAUGUGCUAAUGUGACAAGCUGCAAGCCUGCAUCAACCACUUCCAUGAGUACAGAACUGCCUCCGUUCUGGCAUUUACGGAAUCGUGGUUAAACAACAACGACGACAACAGCACGCUACACAUUGCUGGCUUUUCACCACCCCUUCAUCUGGACAUCUUGGCCCUGACAACAUCAGCAGUGGAGUCCUGAGGCACUGUGCAGGGGGUUUCCUCUCUAUCAGCAGUGCUUCCAUCUGUGCAGCCCGUCCAGUUUUCCCACCAGAGGAGACAUUUCAGGGUUGGUUAAUCAUUUUUGAUCUAUUCACACUGCAACACAGCAUCUACUAUUUUGGGGCUCAGCUCAUGGGGUUCCCAGGCAAACGCCAGCCCCAACGUCACAGACCAGGAGCGGUUCUGGGAUAGCUCUUCCACGCUGUUAUUUCACUUCAGCUGAAUGCGAUGAACAGAUUGUAGGAAAUUAUGACUAGUAAUUCACUUUAACAUUAAAUGUUGAUACAACACAAACUCUCGUCAGAGAGAUACAUGUUUUAAAGGUGAGCAGCCAAAUAAUUAUUAAAACAUUAUAAAAACAACACAAAAACAGCUUGUUAGAGUUAGCAGGUAGAUUAGCAUUUGAGAUUUCCAUUGAGAACAGCGAGGUUCAAUUUUCAGUCCUCUUUUAUUCUCAUGAUACAUGUUGUCCAAUUGCAUCUCACCCUGCAGGAUUUUUACAGAAAUAUUUAAUAAAAUCUUCUAAUUUUCAUCAUGUUUUUCUGUAAUGGUGUCUGGGUGGUUGACCCAGUGUUUUAAGUUUGGACAUUUUGUCGGUGUUUAGUUUACCUGUGUCUGUUUCCUGUUUUAUUAUGAUAGUCUUUUGUCCUGUGCUCGUUAUGUUGAGUUUACUUCUUGUUUCAUUAGUUAGAUUUGUUCCAGCCGUGUUUUCACCUGUUUCUCAUCGUCUCAUUAUUUGUUUGUCUCUGCUGAUGGUCACGUCAUCGUCAAUGCCUCGUGCAUGCACCCUGUAGAUGUUAUUAGUUUCAUCAUUAUGAAGGAAUUUCCUCAGUCUCAACUCUUCAGUCAGUUUCAGCACUGUUCUCUGAAGGUCCCACCACAGCUUCUCAGUCAGGCUGAGGUCUGGACUGACUGGAGCAUUGCACCACUUUGAUUCUUUUCUUUUUCAGCCAUUCUUUUAGAGAUUUGGCACUGUUCUUGGUAUCACUGUCAUGUGUAUGACUGAGUUUGGCCUGAGCUUUAGCUGUGGGGCUGAUGGCCUCACAUCUGACUCUAGAAUACAUUUGUAUACAGAGGAAUUCAUGGUUUACUGAGUCACUGCACGGAGCCCAGAUCAUCAUCCCUCCACCACGGUGCUGACAGCUGGUGUGAUGUGUUUCGUUUUCUCCUUUAUGGACAAACAUGCCCACUUUGGUUUUUUCUGUCCAAAGGAACCUGAGCCCUGCUGCAAUGUUCAUUUAAAGAGAAGAGGCUUCCUCCUGGUAACCCUUCCAAACAAGUCACACUUCUCAGUCUCUUUCUAUUUGUACUCUCAUGAACUUUAACAUUUAACAUGAGGCCUGUAGAGUCUGAGAAUGAGAAUUCUUGGGUUUUUGCAGCUUUUCUGAGCGUUUGGAUGGUCUUAGGUUGAAUUUGCUGGAACAUCCACUCCUGAGAUGAUUGUAGCAUUGUGUUAACACACAACUGAAUGCUGCAGACCAGCAAACUGCAAAAACGUCUGCAUUUGCAAAGGUUCUCACACCUGCUGUUGGAUACACCCAUCAAAUACAACUGAUUUUAAUUCCUAUGGAAACAUUAAGGACAAACUCCGUUUCAGUGGUUCACAUAAUGAAUUAAAAACAGUAACUGGUAGCAGAGGCGGGAUUGUUGGAGUUUGACACAUCAAAAGUGAAUAAACAGAUUUUUAUACCUGCGUCUGUUCUGCUGUGUCAGACUACGACCCACAAAGUGGAGACCUACGUCUUUCAUAUGUUCCGGCACUACGGCUUCAGCUGGAUGAGAAAGAGCGUCGACUACUUCCUGCUGCAGUCCAACUCAAAGUACAUCACCUGGUGGUCGAUGGCCCUCAGCCUCCUCAUCGUCACCUCUGGGUACCUGCGGCUACUCUUCCUCAAAAGCCUCUUUGUCAGCAAUACCGGCACAGAGGGCGAGAAGCCUCGGUGCUGAUAGACUCAAACGAAAACCAAAAGAAAAAGAAUUUAAAAAAUAAAAAUGUCUGGAUUUGUGUGGAGGAACGGCAGACACGAACGAAUUCAAAGCAGUGAUGGUUCUUUCUCCUUGAAUGAAUAAAUAUUAGAAACAA